CAGCAGUAAGGCAUAUGUGGGAGAUGGACGCAAGUCUGAACCAGCCAUGCCGCGUGAAGGAUGAAGGCCCUCUGGAUUGUAAACUUCUUUUAUCUGGAACGAAACACUGUCUCUGCUUGAUCGCUUUGACGGUACCGUAUGAAUAAGGCACCGGCUAACUCCGUGCCAGCAGCCGCGGUAAUACGGAGCGGUCGCAAGCGUUAUCCGGAUUCACUGGGUUUAAAGGGUCGCGUAGGCGGUCUAGAGUAAGUCAGUGUGUGAAAUCCGCGUGCAGCUCAACUCCCGAACGUGCCAUUGAUACUGCCUGCCUUCGAAUUAUAGAUCGCGCAGUGAGCGGAAUAUGCUCAUGUAGCGCUGAAAUGCUUCAGCAUACUUGACAGGAGAACACCAUAUUGCGAAGCGCUAGCUCACUACGCAGUAUAUUGACGCUGAGGCACGAAAGCGUUGGCGGUACUCAAACAGGAUUAGAUACCCUGGUAGUCCACGCCUCUACACGAUGGAUACUCGCC
rnacentral:rRNA from 1 species